rnacentral:rRNA from 1 species
AUUGAACGCUAGCGGGAUGCUUUACACAUGCAAGUCGAACGGAGUGGCGGACGGGUGAGUAAUAUAUCGGAACGUGCCCAGUAGCGGGGGAUAAAUACUAGAAAGAGUGGCUAAUACCGCAUACUAAUGGAGCGGCCGAUUGCGGAUUAGCUAGUUGUUGGGGGAAAGGCUCACCAAGGCAACGAUCCGUAGCUGGUAUGAGAGGACGACCAGCCUCACUGGGACUUAGACACGGCCCAGACUCCUACGGUAGGCAGCAGUGGGUAAUUUUGGACAAUGGGGGAAACCCUGAUCCAGCCAUCCCGCGUGUAUGAUGAAGGCCUUCGGGUUGUAAAGUACUUUUGGCAGAGAAGCGCUAUCUGCAGAAUACGCACCGUCUUUCUACGUUCCAGCAGCCGCGGUAAUAC